CAUCAGCCCAUGUACUGAAGGGUCUUGGGUUCAAUUCUGGUCAAGGGCACAUAUGUAGGUUGCAGGCUGUAUCCCCUGCCCUGGUUAGGGUACAUAGGGGAGGC